rnacentral:rRNA from 1 species
AACGAACGCUGGCGGCAUGCCUAACACAUGCAAGUCGAACGAGACCUUCGGGUCUAGUGGCGCACGGGUGCGUAACGCGUGGGAACCUGCCCUUAGGUUCGGAAUAACUCCCCGAAAGGGGUGCUAAUACCGGAUAAUGUCUUCGGACCAAAGAUUUAUCGCCUUUGGAUGGGCCCGCGUUGGAUUAGCUAGUUGGUAGGGUAAAAGCCUACCAAGGCGACGAUCCAUAGCUGGUCUGAGAGGAUGAUCAGCCACACUGGGACUGAGACACGGCCCAGACUACUACGGGAGGCAGCAGUGGGGAAUGUUGGAGAAUGGGUGAAAGGCUGAUACAGCAAUGCCGCGUGAGUGAUGAAGGCCUUAGGGUUGUAAAGCUCUUUUACCCGGGAUGGUAAUGACGGUACCGGGAUAAUAGGCUGCGGCUAACUCCGUG